GACAACUUCAGUCAGGGAGGGCGUCGGCAAAGAACGUGGCCGGAUUGCAUCUAUGCUGGGUAGUUUUGGUAGCCGAAAGAAGUCAUCUAGAGGAAUUCCACAAGGAGCGACAAUUCAUGAUGUAGAUCCGCAUGCUCUCUCCAGCAGAGAUUCAAAGCAGCAGAGGGUAGACACAAUGUGGAUGAAGGAUAAGAAGAAAACUAUGUGGCGAGCUAUUGG
rnacentral:lncRNA from 1 species